UCAUCUUGGGUAUAUAAUUAUCAAAUGAAUUGCGUAAAUGGGUCUCAGCCCCUCCAUAUAUUUCGCUCGUUGGCCACUGGUUCGUGAGAAAAAGAGAAGGAAGAAGGUUGAUUUGGCUGAAGCAUACCUCUAGCAUUUUGGUUCAUCAGAAGUUAAUUCCCAUCCUGCCUUUUAAAUUGAUCUUAUUUUCAAGCUAUGUCUCUGGACACUUGGCUACAAAGGCAAUUCUGGGAAUUUUUGGGUGUCCAGAGAAGUUUUUUGGAAGGAAGAGAAAUUAGAAGAGGUGCCUGAAAUUACCUUGAGUAUACCUGGAUAUUGAUAUUGAGGGACAUCACUUAGGUAGAAUUGUGAUUGUAUUAUAUGGCCAGGUUGUACCAAAAACUGUUGAGUUUGACAUACAGGCCAUUUCAUGUUGGUUUGUUUGUGACAAAUGAAAUGGCAGGAGAGCGGGGAAAUCUUCUUCUACUAUAGGCCAAAAGUUAACAAAGAGGAAGCUCAUAGCCCAGAUGAUGUUCUAGUGAAAAAGGUGCAAAGAAGAAGGGAUCAAAUUCUGGUGAAAUAGGUUCUAGUGGUAGUCAAAGUAAUGAAGGUGGGCAUGGUA